AUUGAACGCUGGCGGCAUGCUUUACACAUGCAAGUCGAACGGUAACAGGGAGCUUGCUCCGCUGACGAGUGGCGAACGGGUGAGUAAUGCAUCGGAACGUACCCAGUCGUGGGGGAUAACGUAGCGAAAGUUACGCUAAUACCGCAUACGUCCUGAGGGAGAAAGCGGGGGACCGAAAGGCCUCGCGCGAUUGGAGCGGCCGAUGUCGGAUUAGCUAGUUGGUAGGGUAAAGGCCUACCAAGGCGACGAUCCGUAGCGGGUCUGAGAGGAUGAUCCGCCACACUGGGACUGAGACACGGCCCAGACUCCUACGGGAGGCAGCAGUGGGGAAUUUUGGACAAUGGGCGAAAGCCUGAUCCAGCCAUGCCGCGUGAGUGAAGAAGGCCUUCGGGUUGUAAAGCUCUUUCAGCCGGAAAGAAAUCGCGCAGGAUAAUACUCUGUGUGGAUGACGGUACCGGAAGAAGAAGCACCGGCUAACUACGUGCCAGCCGCCGCGGUAACAC
rnacentral:rRNA from 1 species